rnacentral:rRNA from 1 species
UGAGGAAUAUUGGUCAAUGGACGAGAGUCUGAACCAGCCAAGUAGCGUGCAGGAUGACGGCCCUAUGGGUUGUAAACUGCUUUUGUUUGGGAAUAAUCGACAUUACGUGUAAUGUUUUGCAUGUACCAUUCGAAUAAGGACCGGCUAAUUCCGUGCCAGCAGCCGCGGUAAUACGGAAGGUCCAGGCGUUAUCCGGAUUUAUUGGGUUUAAAGGGAGUGUAGGCGGUUGGUUAAGCGUGUUGUGAAAUGUAGAUGCUCAACAUCUGACUUGCAGCGCGAACUGGCUGACUUGAGUACACACAACGUAGGCGGAAUUCAUGGUGUAGCGGUGAAAUGCUUAGAUAUCAUGAAGGACUCCGAUUGCGAAGGCAGCUUACGGGAGUGUUACUGACGCUUAAGCUCGAAGGUGCGGGUAUCGAACAGG